rnacentral:rRNA from 1 species
GACGAACGCUGGCGGCGUGCUUAACACAUGCAAGUCGAGCGGUAAGGCCCUUUCGGGGGUACACGAGCGGCGAACGGGUGAGUAACACGUGGGUGACCUGCCCUCAGUUCUGGGAUAAGCCUGGGAAACCGGGUCUAAUACUGGAUAUGACCUCAUGACGCAUGUUGUGGGGUGGAAAGCCUUGUGCGACUGAGGAUGGGCCCGCGGCCUAUCAGCUUGUUGGUGGGGUGAUGGCCUACCAAGGCGACGACGGGUAGCCGGCCUGAGAGGGCGACCGGCCACACUGGGACUGAGACACGGCCCAGACUCCUACGGGAGGCAGCAGUGGGGAAUCUUGCGCAAUGGGCGAAAGCCUGACGCAGCGACGCCG